UGCCUAAUACAUGCAAGUCGAGCGGACAGAUGGGAGCUUGCUCCCUGAUGUUAGCGGCGGACGGGUGAGUAACACGUGGGUAACCUGCCUGUAAGACUGGGAUAACUCCGGGAAACCGGGGCUAAUACCGGAUGCUUGUUUGAACCGCAUGGUUCAAACAUAAAAGGUGGCUUCGGCUACCACUUACAGAUGGACCCGCGGCGCAUUAGCUAGUUGGUGAGGUAAUGGCUCACCAAGGCGACGAUGCGUAGCCGACCUGAGAGGGUGAUCGGCCACACUGGGACUGAGACACGGCCCAGACUCCUACGGGAGGCAGCAGUAGGGAAUCUUCCGCAAUGGACGAAAGUCUGACGGAGCAACGCCGCGUGAGUGAUGAAGGUUUUCGGAUCGUAAAGCUCUGUUGUUAGGGAAGAACAAGUACCGUUCGAAUAGGGCGGUACCUUGACGGUACCUAACCAGAAAGCCACGGCUAACUACGUGCCAGCAGCCGCGGUAAUACGUAGGUGGCAAGCGUUGUCCGGAAUUAUUGGGCGUAAAGGGCUCGCAGGCGGUUUCUUAAGUCUGAUGUGAAAGCCCCCGGCUCAACCGGGGAGGGUCAUUGGAAACUGGGGAACUUGAGUGCAGAAGAGGAGAGUGGAAUUCCACGUGUAGCGGUGAAAUGCGUAGAGAUGUGGAGGAACACCAGUGGCGAAGGCGACUCUCUGGUCUGUAACUGACGCUGAGGAGCGAAAGCGUGGGGAGCGAACAGGAUUAGAUACCCUGGUAGUCCACGCCGUAAACGAUGAGUGCUAAGUGUUAGGGGGUUUCCGCCCCUUAGUGCUGCAGCUAACGCAUUAAGCACUCCGCCU
rnacentral:rRNA from 1 species